CGAGGGUAAAGGGGGAGGGAGAAGAAGAAAAAAGCGAUUAAAGAAGAAGGUUCGCCGCUACCCUUUGUUUUAAAGUCUAGUUUGUCUGAUGUAAGUAUUGCUACUCCAGUUCUCCAUUGACAUCAAUCUGCAUGAUAAAUGUUUCUCUGUGCCCUCGGCUGCAAGAACAACAAUCAGCCUGGUUUGAAGGAGAAGUUCUGCAGGACUUUGACAAGGGCAAGUUUCAUGCUCGUGGUCGCAAACCUCAUCCCAAUGCAGUUUCGGGGUCCAGUUCCAAAAGGCAG